CUGGCAGUCCAGAAGCUUCAAACACUGAGGCAGCUGUACCCGGUAAAAGUUCAUAAAAACAACACUUCUAAAGAUCAUAUGGUGGUGAUAAACAUAAUAAUUUAACAGCCUCCUCGUCUACAGGUUAAAGAUAAGAAACCAUCUGUUGAAGGCAGGAAGGAUAAACCUGUCUGUCCAGUUAAUCCAGAGACGGACCAGCAGAAGAGGAUGGUCACUGAGCAGUUAAAGAGUCUGUUUAAAGAGCGAGAAGGAAAGGAGGAGGAAAGGCUUGACAACAGAUCAGCAGCAGGCCAGACUGGAGCUUCCUCAAUACAAGACUGGUCCCAAACAUCAAAGGUUGUAAGGAAUUUAGUGGACAGGAGGAGCUGGCAGCAUGGCUCAGGUUUGAUGCCAGUGUUUGAGGAGGAUGAGGAGGGCAGCGAAUGGCCAGAAGAGGAGGCUCAUGCUGAGGAAAACCUCCACAACGAAAGCCAACAGAUGUCAAGUGCAGAAAACCACAAUCUGAAGGCGAAACAUAAGAAUCUGCUGCAAGCCACACUAAGGUGCAAGCAGCCAAUCCAGGACUGCCCUCUUACUGCAGAGAAACUAUCAGAGUCUUCUUACUGUUCAAAUGAGAUUGACCCGCAACAGAAGAGGCCACCUUCCCUCUAUCCUGAUGGAAUAUUUCUGGCUGAGUUUGUAGAUAUCUGGAGCCCCGAUGAAGAUGAAGAGGAGGGAGAGGACAAAUAAGGUGUUUUGUUAAGACUCCUGGGCAGAACUUGCUAUAUACAAAUCUAUACCGUACAUAGCCCAGUCAUUACAGCGUGCUGCAUCAGCCAACUUUGUGCCGUAAGAGCUUGUACUUUAAUUUAAGGACUAAUUCACUUCAGCCAUUUAAAACCAAGAUUCUGCCUUCGGUGAUACUUGGUGGAAGCUUUUACCUCAGACAAUCUGUUAAUAAAAGCCACCAAGCAGGCAAAAGUGUGUUUUAUUCAUAUCAAAUGAUAAUGAUAUUACAUUUAUUUUUUAAGUAAAUCCCACAACAUAUUUCAAACUUAUCUGAAAAUAACAGUGUUAUUACAGAUGCACAUUAA
rnacentral:lncRNA from 1 species